ensembl:lncRNA
CUAUGGUGAAAACUGGGAAAUGACGUUAUAGUCUGAAACAUUUAGUGAAUGUCUAAGCUCUGACCAAAACAAAAAAUAGUGGACUGUAUUUUGAAAAGAUUACUCCGGAAGUGUACUUGUUGUCGUUCCGGCGGAAGCUGCAGACGGCGAGAAUUGCAGCGGCAAACCCUAAACACACACUGGGUUGAAAAGAGCUUCUCUUAUUCAGCGUUACGUGUCCUCUUGAACACAGACAUGUAUCGCCCGGGUGAACCUGUUCGCCAGGUGCCUCCACCGCUGCCGUUCGGACCUCCACCGCCUCACGGCCCUCCUUUUAGACCCACAGGGCCCUGCUCUGUUCCUCCUCCUGGACACUUACCCCCCAGGCCCUGUGGACCAUAUCCGGUCGCGGCACGAGAUUAUCUCCACAACAGACCGCCGAGUGGGCAUUUCGUUCGUCCCCACUGUAGCAGCUUCUCCAUAGACCGUAGUACACCAAUUGCUUUGGGAGGAAGCCAGCAGAUUGUUACUCCUGCUGAACCAUCAACACAUCCGGUACCACAGUGGAAUCCCCCUCCAGUGGAACGUCAUUCUCUAGAUAAUAGUGACCGUGCUGGUGAGGAAUUCCUGAGAUGCAUUGCAGCCAACAAACCUCUCCCAAACUAUCUGAAAGGCAACAUGGCAUACAACCUGGCUGACGCAUUUAAGUCAGCUAGUAUCUUGAAAGAAGCAGUCAAAUCAGACCGUGAAUUCCAGAAGCAUGUGCCUAGAAGCAAGAGCCGUAGUCGAAGCAGAAGCCGAGGCAGGUCUCGAGCCAAGAGUCGCGGUCGAAGCAAAAGCAGAGUACGCAGCCGAAGCAGGGGAAGAAGCAAAACUCAAGCCUGUGGGAAGAGUCGAGCUAGAAGCAAAAGUAGGGCUCGCAGUAGGAGUCGGAGCAACAGUCGAAGUGAGAAAAAAAGUCAUGUACGGAGCAAGAGUCGAGCAAGGCGAUCCAAGUCACGAAGUAGCAGUAGUGAAAAGAGCCGAGGCAAAGGCAAAAAGAAAAACAGGAGCCCCGGACUCAUCACUGUCAACAGCAGUAAUAAUCUGCCAGGAAAUAGUCUAUUAGAAGGAUUGAAGCUGGUUAUGAGCAGCCAAGAUUUGGAAGAUCACCUGCCAUCUCUCAAAGAUAUCAUCCUCACUAUUAAGGCUCCAGAUGAGGGCAAAAAAGUUGAGUGUGUAUCUAAUGAGCCUACACACAUGGAACAUGACAGUCAAGACAGUUUAUCAAUGCUGGAAAAGGAAAGCAUGCUGCUUCCGCAUGAAAGAGUUGGUGGUGAUUUCUCAUGGCUUCAAGGACAAAGUCAAGAAGAUGCUGCAUACCAGAAAGCUAAUGAACUUGAAGAUGAAGAGUCUUUCUUGUAUGGGAAUGAACCAGCUUCCCAGAUUAAUGAAAAGGCCAAACUACAGAAAGAGAGUAGUUCCCUUUCCACUCGUUGUGGACAUCUUCUUGAUCCAAAUCAGUCCCUGCAGUUGGCUUCUUCAACUUUAGUCCACUCCAAUCUGGACAACAUGGAAUAUGAGAAAAUCAAGACCAUAUUAAAAAGCCUGGGUUCAUCAAGUGAGAUCAAGGUGAAGACGCAGGGUCAGAAUGAGCAGGAGUCAUCUCCUACACUUGUCAAUUCAGACAAAGCAGCAGCAACUUUAGCAUUGCCAGCACUCAAUAACCCAAAUGUACGUCAGGCUCUGGAGUCUCUGCAAUCUCUGAUCAAAGCUACAAAGGAGAAACGAACAAAAAGUGACUGCGCAUCUCAAGCAUCUGAUAAACAUAAGGAGGGUGACAGUGAGGAAAGGAAGAGAGAGAAACAAGAGAAAGUAAAUAAAAUGGAGUCUUUGGCCAAAGAACUGGAUGAACUGUUAAAACAAGAUGGACUGGGUUUUAUAACUCCAGUUACUGGCUUUUACUGCCAGAACUGUGAGGAGUUCAUUGGAGAUUUGAAGUCUGCUGAAAACCAUGCAGCUAUCCGCCAUCAUAGUAACUCUAUUGCAAAAGAACAGACGGACAGGCACUCUAAAGACAUCAAAGGACACCCACAUCAUUACAGUCCCUCCAGUAAUCGACACCCUGACCCCCCAGACAGGAGAGAUCACAGGGGUUAUGGUUACCGCGGGGAUUCAGGAAACCACCGGAAUAGCACAGACCAUCUACGGAAUUGGAAGGAUGGCAAAGAUUUCAGAAGCCGAUACCAUGAUGAUGACCACAAAAGUCACAAGGAUAGAGAUAAAAACAUCUUCUUGAAAGAGGAAAUGAAAAAGGAGCGAAUGUUUAUAACAGUCUCCGAUGGACUGACACCUUCAACUUCUAACAUCAGGGUCAAGGAGGAGGUGGACAAGGAGAAGGCCACUGGAAGCCAUGGUAAAGUUAAAGCGAAAGACCUAGAAUCAUCCAAGGAAAAGAAAGGCAGCAUUGAAAAUGAUCAAUACAGUGAUAGCACUGAUGAUGACGGAAAAUCACCUAAAACAAAAAAGAAUAAAAAGAAAAAGAAGAAGAAGGAGAAGGAGAAGGAGAAAAAGAAUAAGAAUAAGAAACAGAAGGAGAAGUCUUAGGUGUUAUUUUGUCCUUGUCAUAUAACUCUGGGAUGAUGGUAGCAGCUUAUUUCUGGACUGAUUUUCUAACAUAGUUUUCUCACUUUCUUUUCCUCCACCCAAUUGUUUUUUGUUACUGUCAUUAGAAGAGGAAGGUAGACCUCAGAGUGAUUCAUCAUGUAUGAAGGAAUAGACUGAUAUGUUAGGAAGCACGUUUGUUGGUGGUCUUUCUCUAAAAGAAGAUUAGUAUUACUUUUGUCUUUGUGUAUCUAGUACAGUGGUCUUUACCUCACUUAGAACUAAGAUUGAUUUUUCUCAGUUAAUUCAGGUAUUUUUCCCCCACUUCAGACAGCGUGUUUGCUCGGUCAAAUUAAUUCUCAUGUGGAAUGAAAUGUUCUCAUGUGUUCCUCAGUAAACAGGCAAACAAAAACCUUUUCCAAGACGUCUGUUCCUUUUACACAUUCUGCACAGUUUUCAGCACUGUAUUAAAGUCUGCCACGUUUCAGGUAUGGCAUCACAUCUUGGUUCUAUUUUUUAAUUAAAUGUUCAAUAAAAUAAGCAGUAAGAAAAUAAGCAGUAAGAAAUUUUUUUCAUUUCAUUGGACCAACAGCAUUGUAGUUUUAGAAAAGGUAUACAUGUAUCUGACAUCUUGUAUUCAUUUUGAUCUCAAAUAAAGACGUAAAAUAAACAAAUGUGUACUAUUCCUUAGUUUUUGGGGUUUUCUUUCUUGAUUUUAUGUUUGAUAUUAUGUUUGAGUGGCUCCCAUCAGGAAGUACAUGUAGACUAUGCUUCCAGGAUGUAGGACACAAAAAAAAGGGUCACUAAUGUCCCUACAGCAUUUCAACAUCUGAACUGUAAGCCUUUCCCACCCCAGUAUUGCAUCCUUUUCUUGCUUCCUUCCCCACACAUUCAGUUCCUUGGUAAUUGAACUGAUCAUUGAAUCUGAACUAUGAUUGGUCAUUUUAUACUGAUGCUUUUAUGUUCUAUGUCUUAUGUGGUGGUCUCUGUGCCUUUUUAAUUGCCCCUUGGGGAUAAAUAAAGGGAAUUUGAAUUGUAUCAAUACAUUUGAAGUGAUCAUAUGCGUGUUUGAUUUAAUUUUAAAUUUACCACAAUUUGUUUUUAAUAUCUGAAAUGUUCAAAUUUAUUCAGGUAAAUGGCAAAGAACCUGCAUCUAAAGAGUAGUUUAGAAUUCUAGUACAAAUUGGAAAUAGUGAAACUACAAGUAACUCAAAGUUACUUUACUAAGUUCGUAAGCUAAGUUAUUUUUGCUUGACGUCUGUGGAGAAAAAAAGGUCUGACUGGUUUGACUGUUUUUACAUACUAAGGCUUUUGACUGUGUCUAAUGUAAUGCAGUCGAAGCUCAUCUAUCAGAGAUGAAUAUGCCAUCCAAAAAUGGAGCAACACACUCCAUAUUUUGUUGUAAAUUAUUAUAGGUAUAUCAUAUGUAUCUUUUUUCUAUUGUAUUUACCAAC